rnacentral:rRNA from 1 species
UGGGGAAUUUUGGACAAUGGGCGCAAGCCUGAUCCAGCCAUGCCGCGUGCGGGAAGAAGGCCUUCGGGUUGUAAACCGCUUUUGUCAGGGAAGAAAUCUUCUGAGUUAAUACCCCGGGAGGAUGACGGUACCUGAAGAAUAAGCACCGGCUAACUACGUGCCAGCAGCCGCGGUAAUACGUAGGGUGCAAGCGUUAAUCGGAAUUACUGGGCGUAAAGCGUGCGCAGGCGGUUUUGUAAGACAGAGGUGAAAUCCCCGGGCUCAACCUGGGAACUGCCUUUGUGACUGCAAGGCUUGAGUGCGGCAGAGGGGGAUGGAAUUCCGCGUGUAGCAGUGAAAUGCGUAGAUAUGCGGAGGAACACCGAUGGCGAAGGCAAUCCCCUGGGCCUGCACUGACGCUCAUGCACGAAAGCGUGGGGAGCAAACAGGAUUAGAUACCCCUGGUAGUCCACGCCCUAAACGAUGUCAACUGGUUGUUGGGAAGGUUCCUUCUCAGUAACGUAGCUAACGCGUGAAGUUGACCGCCUGGGGAGUACGGCCGCAAGGUUGAAACUCAAAUGAAUUGACGGGGUCAUAGCUGUUUCCU